rnacentral:rRNA from 1 species
UACGUAGGGGGCGAGCGUUGUCCGAAUUCACUGGGCGUAAAGCGCGCGUAGGCGGACUUUUAAGUCAGGGGUGAAAUGCCGAGGCUCAACCUCGGAACUGCCUUUGAAACUGGGAGUCUUGAGGUAUGGAGAGGGAAGUGGAAUUCCAGGUGUAGCGGUGAAAUGCGUAGAUAUCUGGAGGAACACCGGUGGCGAAGGCGGCUUCCUGGCCAUAUCCUGACGCUGAGGUGCGAAAGCUAGGGGAGCGAACGGG